rnacentral:rRNA from 1 species
GAUGAACGCUGGCGGCGUGCCUAAUACAUGCAAGUAGAACGCUGAAGGAAGGAGCUUGCUCUUUCCGGAUGAGUUGCGAACGGGUGAGUAACGCGUAGGUAACCUGCCUGGUAGCGGGGGAUAACUAUUGGAAACGAUAGCUAAUACCGCAUAACAGUAGAUGUUGCAUGAUAUCUACUUAAAAGGUGCAAUUGCACCACUACCAGAUGGACCUGCGUUGUAUCAGCUAGUUGGUGAGGUAACGGCUCACCAAGGCGACGAUACAUAGCCGACCUGAGAGGGUGAUCGGCCACACUGGGACUGAGACACGGCCCAGACGCCUACGGGAGGCAGCAGUAGGGAAUCUUCGGCAAUGGACGGAAGUCUGACCGAGCAACGCCGCGUGAGUGAAGAAGGUUUUCGGAUCGUAAAGCUCUGUUGUAAGAGAAGAACGAGUGUGAGAGUGGAAAGUUCACACUGUGACGGUAUCUUACCAGAAAGGGACGGCUAACUACGUG